AGUGAACGCUGGCGGUAGGCCUAACACAUGCAAGUCGAACGGCAGCACAGUAAGAGCUUGCUCUUACGGGUGGCGAGUGGCGGACGGGUGAGGGAUACAUCGGAAUCUACUUUUUCGUGGGGGAUAACGUAGGGAAACAUACGCUAAUACCGCAUACGACCUACGGGUGAAAGCAGGAGAUCAUCGGACCUUGCGCGAUUGAAUGAGCCGAUGUCGGAUUAGCUAGUUGGCGGGGUAAAGGCCCACCAAGGCGACGAUCCGUAGCUGGUCUGAGAGGAUGAUCAGCCACACUGGAACUGAGACACGGUCCAGACUCCUACGGGAGGCAGCAGUGGGGAAUAUUGGACAAUGGGCGCAAGCCUGAUCCAGCCAUACCGCGUGGGUGAAGAAGGCCUUCGGGUUGUAAAGCCCUUUUGUUGGGAAAGAAAAGCAGCAGGUUAAUACCCCGCUGUUCUGACGGUACCCAAAGAAUAAGCACCGGCUAACUUCGUG
rnacentral:rRNA from 1 species